rnacentral:ncRNA from 1 species
CACCGCGAGGUGAAAUCUGAAGGAAGCCGUCGGCAAAUAUCUGACCUGACGAACAGAAACUUCAUACAAGGCAUUCAACCGUGGAUAAGAUUACAUCACAAAUCAAAGUCCCAUAGCUAUUCAGAACGGUUGUGUGUAAAUGAAGCAGGUAUAAGGUUGAAAGACA